AGCGAACGCUGGCGGCAGGCCUAACACAUGCAAGUCGAACGAACUCUUCGGAGUUAGUGGCGGACGGGUGAGUAACACGUGGGAACGCGCCUUUUGGUUCGGAAUAACUCAGGGAAACUUGUGCUAAUACCGAAUGUGCCCUUCGGGGGAAAGAUUUAUCGCCAUUAGAGCGGCCCGCGUCUGAUUAGCUAGUUGGUGAGGUAACGGCUCACCAAGGCGACGAUCAGUAGCUGGUCUGAGAGGAUGACCAGCCACACUGGGACUGAGACACGGCCCAGACUCCUACGGGAGGCAGCAGUGGGGAAUCUUGCGCAAUGGGCGAAAGCCUGACGCAGCCAUGCCGCGUGAAUGAUGAAGGUCUUAGGAUUGUAAAAUUCUUUCACCGGGGACGAUAAUGACGGUACCCGGAGAAGAAGCCCCGGCUAACUUCGUG
rnacentral:rRNA from 1 species